rnacentral:rRNA from 1 species
CAAGUCGGACGAGAAAGCGGGGGCAACUCCGCAAGUACAGUGGCGUACGGGUGAGUAACACGUGGGUAAUCUACCUCAUAGUGGGGAAUAACCCUGGGAAACCGGGGCUAAUACCGCAUAAGCUCGAGAGAGGAAAGCAGCAAUGCGCUGUGAGAGGAGCCCGCGGCCGAUUAGCUGGUUGGUAGGGUAAAAGCCUACCAAGGCAAAGAUCGGUAGCCGGCCUGAGAGGGCACACGGCCACACUGGCACUGAAACACGGGCCAGACUCCUACGGGAGGCAGCAGUGGGGAAUCUUGCACAAUGGGGGCAACCCUGAUGCAGCGACGCCGCGUGAGCGAUGAAGCCCUUCGGGGUGUAAAGCUCUUUCGGCAGGGACGAUAAUGACGGUACCUGCAGAAGCAGCUGCGGCUAACUACGUGCCAGCAGCCGCGGUAAUACGUAGGCAGCGAGCGUUGUUCGGAGUUACUGGGCGUAAAGGGUGUGUGGGCGGUUUUCUAAGUUUGGUGUGAAAUCUCCCGGCUCAACCGGGAGGGUGCGCCGAAAACUGGGGGACUAGAGUGCGGGAUGGGAGAGUAGAAUUCCUGGUGUAGCGGUGAAAUGCGUAGAUAUCAGGAGGAAUACCGGUGGUGUAGACGGCUCUCUGGACCGCCACUGACGCUGAGACACGAAAGCGUGGGUAGCAAACAGGAUUAGAUGCCCUGGUAGUCCACGCCCUAAACGAUGCAUAUUUGGUGUAGGUCAUUCAGUUGAUCUGUGCCGGAGCUAACGCGUUAAAUAUGCCGCCUGGGGAGUACAGUCGCAAGGCUGAAACUCAAAGGAAUUGACGGGGGCCCGCACAAGCGGUGGAGCAUGUGGUUCAAUU